rnacentral:antisense_RNA from 1 species
AAAGAUCGCAGCCUGCGGCAGCUCCUACAGGAAAAUGUAUUCACAUGUAGGAGCUGCCGCAGGCUGCGAUCUUU